AAUUUGAGUCGGGGAGAAAUGAAAUUUGGGCCUAAAAUUCUUCAAAGCCUUUACUCUUUUAUUUUUGUGACGAAGUCUUUCUCGGUUUUUCCCUUAUCUCCUCUAACCUAAUACCCUCGCAUCCACAGCUCGUCAGCUCGCCUCCACCACAAAUGAACGCCGUUUUGCCUCUCCGGCGUCCGGUGCCUUCGCCGGUGACGUGAGAGGGAUCCUUUGUGUCACUGGUGUUAUCUAAUCCUGGUUGUCAGUGGUGGUCGUCAGAGAUAUAGAGUUCGUGAUUUGAGAUCUCAAUUUGCGGCGUCUCGAGACAACUCCGUGGCUCAUGUUGAUGGCCUCCAAUUUGUGGAGUUCGCGGCGCGAGGAUCCACACGGUACAGCUGGAGAGGGAUUCAAUGGCUAAUUGGGAAGUUGAUUUGUCGGAGAAUCUAGAAGAAUACCUUCAAAAUUAUUACCGGAGAACUCACUGGAAAUGAAGAAGAUGGGCAGAUUCCUGUGAAUUCGCUGAAGGGCUCGGUUCAAGUUUACUCCCAAGAAAGUUGAGUACUUGUAUAAUUUGGUUCUACGUACGUUGGAGUUUCUAUCAAAGCAAAUGUUUGUCUUUUUGAACUCCUUGUGUUUUUUGCUUAGGGAAUAUCUAAGCUAAUUGAACUAGAUAAAACAUAAUUACUUGUUUGUGAA